rnacentral:rRNA from 1 species
GGCCACUGCUAUGGGGGUCCGACUAAGCCAUGCGAGUCAUGGGGCGCCUUGCGCGCACCGGCGGACGGCUCAGUAACACGUCGGUAACCUACCCUCGGGAGGGGGAUAACCCCGGGAAACUGGGGCUAAUCCCCCAUAGGCCUGAGGUACUGGAAGGUCCUCAGGCCGAAAGGGUCUCUGACCGCCCGAGGAUGGGCCGGCGGCCGAUUAGGUAGUUGGUGGGGUAACGGCCCACCAAGCCGAAGAUCGGUACGGGCCAUGAGAGUGGGAGCCCGGAGAUGGACACUGAGACACGGGUCCAGGCCCUACGGGGCGCAGCAGGCGCGAAACCUCCGCAAUGCGGGCAACCGCGACGGGGGGACCCCCAGUGCCGUGGCAUCGCCACGGCUUUUCCGGAGUGUAAAAAGCUCCGGGAAUAAGGGCUGGGCAAGGCCGGUGGCAGCCGCCGCGGUAAUACCGGCGGCCCGAGUGGUGGCCGCUAUUAUUGGGCCUAAAGCGUCCGUAGCCGGGCCCGUAAGUCCCUGGCGAAAUCCCACGGCUCAACCGUGGGGCUUGCUGGGGAUACUGCGGGCCUUGGGACCGGGAGAGGCCGGGGGUACCCCUGGGGUAGGGGUGAAAUCCUAUAAUCCCAGGGGGACCGCCAGUGGCGAAGGCGCCCGGCUGGAACGGGUCCGACGGUGAGGGACGAAGGCCAGGGGAGCGAACCGGAUUAGAUACCCGGGUAGUCCUGGCUGUAAAGGAUGCGGGCUAGGUGUCGGGCGAGCUUCGAGCUCGUCCGGUGCCGAAGGGAAGCCGUUAAGCCCGCCGCCUGGGGAGUACGGCCGCAAGGCUGAAACUUAAAGGAAUUGGCGGGGGAGCACUACAAGGGGUGGAGCGUGCGGUUUAAUUGGAUUCAACGCCGGGAACCUCACCGGGGGCGACGGCAGGAUGAAGGCCAGGCUGAAGGUCUUGCCGGACACGCCGAGAGGAGGUGCAUGGCCGCCGUCAGCUCGUACCGUGAGGCGUCCACUUAAGUGUGGUAACGAGCGAGACCCGCGCCCCCAGUUGCCAGUCCUCCCCGUUGGGGAGGAGGCACUCUGGGGGGACCGCCGGCGAUAAGCCGGAGGAAGGAGCGGGCGACGGUAGGUCAG